UUGCACAUGUUCACUUUUCUCUUUGAUGACAUUGGUGUUCCUUUGAACUACCGUCACAUGGAUGGCUCUGGUGUCCAUACUUUCACGCUCAUCAGCAGGGAAGGGAAAGCUACCUACGUUAAGUUCCACUGGAGACCUACAUGUGGAGUCAAGAGUUUGCUGGAGGAAGAGGCUGUGAUUGUAGGAGGCAAUAACCACAGCCAUGCCACCCAGGAUCUCUAUGACUCCAUCGCUGCUGGGAACUAUCCAGAGUGGAAGCUAUUCAUCCAGACCAUGGACCCUGAUCACGAGGAUAGGUUCGAUUUUGACCCACUUGAUGUCACCAAGACAUGGCCGGAAGACAUCUUUCCUCUUCAGCCGGUUGGGCGCAUGGUCCUGAAUAAGAAC
rnacentral:lncRNA from 1 species